UACAGAGGGGGCAAGCGUUGUUCGGAAUUACUGGGCGUAAAGAGCGCGCAGGCGGUCGUUCAAGUCGAGUGUGAAAGCCCCCGGCUCAACCGAGGAAGUGCGCCCGAAACUGCAUGGCUUGAGUGCCGGAGAGGGUGGCGGAAUUCCCCAAGUGGAGGUGAAAUUCGUAGAUAUGGGGAGGAACACCGGUGGCGAAGGCGGCCACCUGGACGGUAACUGACGCUGAGACGCGAAAGCGUGGGGAGCAAACAGG
rnacentral:rRNA from 1 species